GUACUUUGCCAUACAGGACAUCCUUACCUGAUUUUACAAAGAGAAUCUGGAAUGAAUAGAAGAUAAACAGUAUCCUCAUCAUGGUGACUCCUGUAUCAAUUGCUGC